UGCCCCAAGAAGACCAGCUGUGAGCAGCCCUUCUCCUCUGGAGUGAAAAUGCCACCCUUUGAUGCAAAUGGCUUCUUAUGUCCUGCUCUCUAUGCCUCUACAACCUUGAACUCUAGGCUUGGCUCAUUCUGAAGGUAUGAAUAAAGCUAUCUGUUUUGGUUAGUCUA